UACGUAGGUGGCAAGCGUUGUCCGGAUUUAUUGGGUUUAAAGGGUGCGUAGGCGGCUGUUUAAGUCAGUGGUGAAAGCCGAUCGCUUAACGAUCGAACUGCCAUUGAUACUGAAUAGCUUGAGUACAGAUGAGGUAGGCGGAAUUGACAGUGUAGCGGUGAAAUGCAUAGAUAUUGUCAAGAACACCAGUGGCGAAGGCGGCUCACUGGCCCGAUACUGACGCUGAGGCACGAAAGCGUGGGGAGCAAACAGG
rnacentral:rRNA from 1 species